GGUUAAGCGACUAAGCGUACACGGUGGAUGCCCUGGCAGUCAGAGGCGAUGAAGGACGUGCUAAUCUGCGAAAAGCGUCGGUAAGGUGAUAUGAACCGUUAUAGCCGGCGAUGUCCGAAUGGGGAAACCCAGUGUGAUUCGUCACACUAUCGUUAACUGAAUACAUAGGUUAACGAGGCGAACCGGGGGAACUGAAACAUCUAAGUACCCCGAGGAAAAGAAAUCAACCGAGAUUCCCCCAGUAGCGGCGAGCGAACGGGGAGCAGCCCAGAGUCUGAAUCAGCUUGUGUGUUAGUGGAACGGUCUGGAAAGUCCGACGGUACAGGGUGAUAGUCCCGUACACCAAAAUGCACAGGUUGUGAACUCGAAGAGUAGGGCGGGACACGUGGUAUCCUGUCUGAAUAUGGGGGGACCAUCCUCCAAGGCUAAAUACUCCUGACUGACCGAUAGUGAACCAGUACCGUGAGGGAAAGGCGAAAAGAACCCCGGCGAGGGGAGUGAAAAAGAACCUGAAACCGUGUACGUACAAGCAGUGGGAGCACCUUCGGGUGUGACUGCGUACCUUUUGUAUAAUGGGUCAGCGACUUAUAUUCUGUAGCAAGGUUAACCGUAUAGGGGAGCCGCAGGGAAACCGAGUCUUAACUGGGCGUUAAGUUGCAGGGUAUAGACCCGAAACCCGGUGAUCUAGCCAUGGGCAGGUUGAAGGUUGGGUAACACUAACUGGAGGACCGAACCGACUAAUGUUGAAAAAUUAGCGGAUGACUUGUGGCUGGGGGUGAAAGGCCAAUCAAACCGGGAGAUAGCUGGUUCUCCCCGAAAGCUAUUUAGGUAGCGCCUCGUGAACUCAUCUUCGGGGGUAGAGCACUGUUUCGGCUAGGGGGUCAUCCCGACUUACCAACCCGAUGCAAACUACGAAUACCGAAGAAUGUUAUCACGGGAGACACACGGCGGGUGCUAACGUCCGUCGUGAAGAGGGAAACAACCCAGACCGCCAGCUAAGGUCCCAAAGUCACAGUUAAGUGGGAAACGAUGUGGGAAGGCACAGACAGCCAGGAUGUUGGCUUAGAAGCAGCCAUCAUUUAAAGAAAGCGUAAUAGCUCACUGGUCGAGUCGGCCUGCGCGGAAGAUGUAACGGGGCUAAACUGUGCACCGAAGCUGCGGCAGCGACACUAUGUGUUGUUGGGUAGGGGAGCGUUCUGUAAGCCUGCGAAGGUGGCCUGUGAGGGUUGCUGGAGGUAUCAGAAGUGCGAAUGCUGACAUAAGUAACGAUAAUGCGGGUGAAAAGCCCGCACGCCGGAAGACCAAGGGUUCCUGUCCAACGUUAAUCGGGGCAGGGUGAGUCGACCCCUAAGGCGAGGCCGAAAGGCGUAGUCGAUGGGAAACAGGUUAAUAUUCCUGUACUUGGUGUUACUGCGAAGGGGGACGGAGAAGGCUAUGUUAGCCGGGCGACGGUUGUCCCGGUUUAAGCAUGUAGGCGGAGGUUCCAGGUAAAUCCGGUACCUUUUUAACGCUGAGGUGUGAUGACGAGGCACUACGGUGCUGAAGUAACAAAUGCCCUGCUUCCAGGAAAAGCCUCUAAGCAUCAGGUAACAUUAAAUCGUACCCCAAACCGACACAGGUGGUCAGGUAGAGAAUACCAAGGCGCUUGAGAGAACUCGGGUGAAGGAACUAGGCAAAAUGGUGCCGUAACUUCGGGAGAAGGCACGCUGAUAUGUAGGUGAAGCCCCUGCGGGUGGAGCUGAAAUCAGUCGAAGAUACCAGCUGGCUGCAACUGUUUAUUAAAAACACAGCACUGUGCAAACACGAAAGUGGACGUAUACGGUGUGACGCCUGCCCGGUGCCGGAAGGUUAAUUGAUGGGGUUAUCCGUAAGGAGAAGCUCUUGAUCGAAGCCCCGGUAAACGGCGGCCGUAACUAUAACGGUCCUAAGGUAGCGAAAUUCCUUGUCGGGUAAGUUCCGACCUGCACGAAUGGCGUAAUGAUGGCCAGGCUGUCUCCACCCGAGACUCAGUGAAAUUGAACUCGCUGUGAAGAUGCAGUGUACCCGCGGCAAGACGGAAAGACCCCGUGAACCUUUACUAUAGCUUGACACUGAACAUUGAGCCUUGAUGUGUAGGAUAGGUGGGAGGCUUUGAAGCGUGGACGCCAGUCUGCGUGGAGCCAACCUUGAAAUACCACCCUUUAAUGUUUGAUGUUCUAACGUUGGCCCCUUAUCGGGGUUGCGGACAGUGUCUGGUGGGUAGUUUGACUGGGGCGGUCUCCUCCCAAAGAGUAACGGAGGAGCACGAAGGUUAGCUAAUCCUGGUCGGACAUCAGGAGGUUAGUGCAAUGGCAUAAGCUAGCUUGACUGCGAGCGUGACGGCGCGAGCAGGUGCGAAAGCAGGUCAUAGUGAUCCGGUGGUUCUGAAUGGAAGGGCCAUCGCUCAACGGAUAAAAGGUACUCCGGGGAUAACAGGCUGAUACCGCCCAAGAGUUCAUAUCGACGGCGGUGUUUGGCACCUCGAUGUCGGCUCAUCACAUCCUGGGGCUGAAGUAGGUCCCAAGGGUAUGGCUGUUCGCCAUUUAAAGUGGUACGCGAGCUGGGUUUAGAACGUCGUGAGACAGUUCGGUCCCUAUCUGCCGUGGGCGCUGGAGAAUUGAGGGGGCUGCUCCUAGUACGAGAGGACCGGAGUGGACGCAUCACUGGUGUUCGGGUUGUCAUGCCAAUGGCAUUGCCCGGUAGCUAAAUGCGGAAGAGAUAAGUGCUGAAAGCAUCUAAGCACGAAACUUGCCCCGAGAUGAGUUCUCCCUGAGACUUUAAGUCUCCUGAAGGAACGUUAAAGACGAUGACGUUGAUAGGUCGGGUGUGUAAGCGUAGCGAUACGUUGAGCUAACCGAUACUAAUGAACCGUGAGGCUUAACCUU
rnacentral:rRNA from 1 species